rnacentral:tRNA from 2 species
GCGGGUAUAGUAUAGCGGACAUUAUAUCAGGUUUCCAACCUGAGGAUGGGGGUUCAAUUCCCCCUACCCGCUCCC